rnacentral:miRNA from 1 species
UAGCCGAGGACGAUUUGCCUG